rnacentral:lncRNA from 1 species
GGAUACAACCAUGGCAUAUGGAAGUUCCUGAGCCAGGGAUCCAACUAUGAUGCAGCUAUGGCAACGAAGGAUCCUUAACCCACUGCACUGGGCUGGGGAUUGAACCCACACCAACAAAGAAACAACACAGGACCCUUAACUUGCUGUGCCACAGUGAGAAUUCAAGAUCCAAUUUUAAUAUACUAGAUUUUAAUGUCCACACCUGCUGCAUAUGGAAGUUCCCAGGGUAGGGGUCAAAUCAGAGCUGUAGCUGCCAGCCUACAGCACAGCCACAGCAAUUCCCAGAUCUGAGCUGUGUCUGCGACCUACAUCACAACUCAGAAUUCUUAACCCACUGAGCAAGGCCAGGGAGUGAAUUCAUGUCCUCAUGGAUACUAGUCAGGUUAGUUACCGUUAAGCUAUGAUGGGAACUCCAUACAUUUAAUUUUUAUUCUGUGAUUCAGGAAGAACUAGGAUGUUAUUUCUAGUCUGAAUCAAUAGCAUAGGUAAUAUUAGAUACAGCAUCAGAUGUGAAUUAUUUUGGCUUUUGGUUAUGUGAAUUCUUGAUGGGUAUUGUAAAACUUAAGUUAUCUUCUGAUGUUUUUAUAAAAGCCUCUUUAAUUCUCUCCUUUCCUACAAAAAAAAUGGGUUAAAAGGCUUUUCUUUGAUUUUUAAUAUGGUCGGAACUUUGAGAAACAUCUCAAUCAGUAGUUAAUAAAGAUAGAGACACAUGAAGCAACUGUUCCCACAAGAGCAAUUAUAGAUGAGAUUUCUUUGGGUCCUACAUGAACUCCUCUCUCACCCAGAGGGUUACCAAUCACAUGAGCACCAUGAGAAUCUACCAAACUCAGAUUGUUAUAUUUUUUGUCAAUUUAAGCUCCAUUUAUAGAAAGGCAAGAAUUGUAGUUUAAAAACGAAGCUGGCCCACAGGGAGGAUCUCUUCAACUGGAGAAGCCCUGUUUCAUCAUUACUUUCCACAGUCUUUGAAACUGGAAAAACUCAACAGGAGCUGCACAUGUUUGGUACAUUUUUUUUUCCUUCUAAGACCUUAACAAGAGCAGAAGGGAUUCUUUUAACAUGAACUUUAUCAUAACAAAUAAAGGAUUAAUAUGAGAGAAAGAAAACCACUUUGUGGAAUGAACAAUUCACAGUGUGUUUGUUCUGUAAUAUUUUUGGAAAGCCACCCUCCUACCAAGAAAUGUGCAACUAAACAAUGCACUGCUCACCUCUGGGCCAUACCUAACAUGAAGAGUAAGUAAUGUGCGGGUACCACUGCAGCCCCUUACAUGGGAUUGCCUCCUCACUGUGGCAUGUGUCACUUUAUCUAGAAGCAAUAGGACAAGGGGUUCUGCUGGGGUCUUCAUUCAGAUCCUUCCCAUCAUUAUAAUUCUAGGGCUCUAGUUUCUGUUGUUGUCUAUGAAUGCCUGGCUCUGUUGGGGUGUGAAAAUCCUCCAAGAUAACAGUGGAGCUUUCUCAGUCUCUGCAACUGCAUUUCUUCCAAUUCCAUCUGUAUGCCCUCCAUACCUCUAUUAACCAUAAUUCUUCACUUAUGUCAUUUUCAUAAGUCUUCUGAUUCCUCAUUGCUAUUGCCUAAAUCUUAGGAAGGUUUGUAACCACUGAAAGGCACCACAUCUUUUCAGUAUCUUGAAAUAUUUGCAAAUGCAAUUUCACAUCUGCAAUGGGUAGAGAUUUAUAAAUUUCUUCAAAUUAAGAUGAAAUAAAUGCAACUUCUGAGAUGAAAGCUCAAGGUCAUUUACCCCCAGGUUUUUCCUUUGAUCCAGUAGCACGGUCACUUCCUUCUUCACUCCUUCCCAAUACGGUAGUCACCCUCCCGUACAGUUGCAGAUAUUGAAAAAUUCUGAUACAAUAUUUUAAAAUUCAUAUAUAUUGCAAUUCUAUUCAUUAAAUAAAGCAAAGACUUCUUCUCUGUUAAGGCUAUCAGCUCAACCCCCAAAUAUGUAAUUUUGUUUUCCAAAGUGUUUAUUCAUACUACUGCUAAAGCACUUAUCAUCUUCCAUUGUAGCCUAAUUUAUAUAUAUGUCUUCUCCAAGAUAUUAUCACCUUCUUGAAAGCAGAGAUCUGUGUAUUUGCAUUCCAUUCACCCAGGUCAGUGAAAGAUACAUUGUAAGUAUCAGUAGCAAAUGCUUAUAAAAUAAAUAAAUGAGUUAAUUUAAAGCAUUACUUUUUUUUUUUUUUUUGUCUUUUUGCCAUUUCCUGGGCUGCUCCUGUGGCAUAUGGAGGUUCCCAGGAGAGGGGUCGAAUCGGAGCUGUAGCUGCCAGCCUACACCAGAGCCACAGCAACGCAGGAUCAGAGCCGCGUCUGCGACCUACACCACAGCUCAUGGUAAUGCCGGAUCAUUAACCCACUGAGCAAGGGCAGGGAUCGAACCCGCAACCACAUGGUUCCUAGUCAGAUUCGUUAACCACUGCGCCACGACGGGAACUCCAAAACAUUACUUUCUGUGAAGAAAAAAAAAAUCUGUAUAACUGAGUUUUGCUGCUUAACUUUUCAUCCUUUUUACAUAAGGGAUAAUUAGCAACUAAAAGGGAAAGGACAAACACUUAUUUUUAAUUUAAAAGUCAUGCUGUGAUGAGCUUUAAGAGGAAGUAAUUUGACUUGGAAUAUCAUUGUAGAGCUCAGGACACAGUCAAAGAUCAGACAACAAAAUAUCUUCAUAUUUUCCACUUGGCAUUCAAGCAAAUGUGAAGACUAGAUGAGUGAGUGU